AUCUGAUUUGCACAGAAGGGGGAAGAAGGCUUUAUGGAAAAGAUAAACUGCAGACUCAACUCUUUGUAUGGGAAAGCCGGACACAAGUAGAAUAACCUAAGGACGGAAUUCAGCAAGGAUUGUCAGAUACAUUCAUCCAAAGUAAUUGCAAGACAUGAACUAAUCUCUCAUCUCUCCUUGGUGAAUACCUAAGGAACUGGCAAGUUACUGUCUAGUUGUCAUCCCCCACCAGAGGGAGUACGUUGUGGAAUUUGCACCUCAACUCAGCUUGCUUUCGUGGUGAGGACAGCAGAGUGCAGUAUACAAGGCUACUGCGAGAGGUGGUACUGCGUUUAGAAAGAAGGCUAAACUGUAUGGAAGCUCAUGUAAGUAAUGGGUUCAUUUCAACUUGAAAAUUAGUUUUGCUUUUUUCCAGCCUUUUUUUCCAGGUUAAAGCCACUAAAUGAAAGCUAGGUGUAUUCAGGAGGCAGUUAUUCUCAGAAGCGCACUGACAGAGGAACCCAUUUAUGAAAAAGGAAAUAAUAGAAGUACAUCACAGUGACAGCAGCAGAAGCCAAUUCACUGGAGAUGGCAGAUGGAGGGAAUCACUGAUAGUUACGGUUAAUGUUUGGUUAGUCUGGAAAAUAGCUGUCCGAACGUGGGGAGGAGCUGGAGAAUACCCAUGAGUGCUCUCGUGUGCUGUAGUUAGCUCAACAGAGGCCUCUGCUGAGCAAACGGUAACUGUCUGAAACAAGCUCAGAAACAGGCCAAGUAUCUCACCUUUAUAUACCCUUGUAAGGACCAUGUAGUACUUCUCUUAUGGCAGUGUUGGAAGGAAGGAAAAUUCCAAAGGGACAGACAAGUAUGAAUAGAUGCCUCUUAUUUCUGAGGGGAAAAAAAAUCAAGAAAUGUGCGAUAUAAAAUAAGAAUAAUCACACUUGAUUUGCAACUAGAGAACGUUUUACAUUUUUUGCCAUAAUUUUGUGUAUUAAAGAUUUGAAAGUCAUUUGAGCAAUCACACCAGAUAGAUUGUGAUUUGCCAUAGGAUUUAAAGCAUCCCUUUGGAUCAUUGCGAGCUGUUUUCCAUCUUCAUUUAAUUGAAUUUGCCACUCCGAAACUGAAUGAAACCUUUGAUUUAUCAGAAGUGCUUUAUUCUUCACUCUGGAUAUGUGCAGAUCUAAGCUAUAAACAGGAAAGCAGUAAAAAGUUGCAUUGGUAAAUAUUUUAGAGAACACUGCUGUUCUGUGAAGUUUAUGUUGUCUUUUCUGGUGCUAUGGAAUGCUUUUGUAGGAGCUCAUUUGGGAAAUGUAUUCUUUGAUUUUGGUAUGUAUUGAUCAACAUUUGAAGGCAAGAAUUAUUGUGAACGGUAGUAUUUUCAAAUAUCCAUUUUGUUUGUGUUUGUGAUGCUCACUUUGUUCAACUCUGCUCCAAGCAAAUUAAAGUGUACUGUUAUAAUAAGUAUGGGAAGGUUAGCAUUCAUGCUUUAGGGAUAAAACAUUUUGACAGUUCCAUUCUACGUUUGCAUUUAAAGAUUGUAAUGCUUUUAAUUAGACUCUAUGUUUGUAGUAGGAUCUCUCACAGGCAUUACUGCUGCAAGACUGUUACCUGCAGGGUUUGUUCUGGACCGCUUGUCUGCAUGGAAGUGCAGAAGCUUACUGGUUCCACAAGGAGCAUGCACAUCAUUUUCUGUGGUAUACCUCGUUUUCUUUAAUUUCGCAUGAGGUUCCAUCUGUACCACUAUUGCUGAGUCAUUUGUGUUUGUUUUUGAGGGAUUUCACAUGCAAAGACUUAAGGAGGAACAUAAGCAUAGUUUUCUCUUGCAUAUAAUAGAAGUACACAGUAGAAUCCCCAAGUGAGCAGAAGCAAGCAUUGUUUGGAGAGAAAAGAGAUUCUGCGGUGAUAGCUGUUGUCCUUUUAACCCAUGGACAGAUGAUAUUUAAAUAAACCAUAUGCACAGACAAUGGUCAAGUAUUCUGAGCUUAUGAAAAUGAUCACUGAGACAGGUUAAUGUCUGAAGGACCAAUCACUAAAACUACCCAUAUCAUUUGUUCCCCUUUUGUAUUGUCCUCCAUCUUUCUGUAUUACUAACAUUUAUCAGCAAUUUAAGUAACCCGAUAUAACAACUGCAACAUUGCUAUACCAAGAAAACGUUCACUGAGAUAGUAAGCCAAACAUACGCUAUCUCAAAAGGCUUGUGUGGCAAAUAGUCGACUAAGUCAGAGCCAAAACAAAAAAAAACUAGCUAGAUAUUUCAGACUUUUCAGAAGAGUAGGGAGAAGCAGGAAAACGUUGCAAGUUUUACUAUAAAAAUGUAUUUGGGCUGAAAUAAGGUCUUUCACACUGAUAGUCCAGCCAGUCCCUAGAGACUUUGUCUACUUAUUACUAAAUUUGCCUUGAGAGGGAUAUGAACAUAGGUGAUGUCAGAAAAUCUGAUGCAAUUGAUUCUCAGGGAGCUUCUUCCUGCAUAAUGCACCAAUACUGUGACUCCAAAGCCCAGGAAACUCAAAGAGCUUCGUACACUGCUGCAAGCUGCUCUUUUUCAUAUUUUCCUUCACUUUUAGGAGCUAGUUCUUCUAACUUGGCAGUAAAUAGCAGAGACGAGAGGUACUCUGGGAAUUCUGUUAUAUGAUAUGUACAAGCUCGUGCCUUUUGACUGUGGGGAUGGAGGAGAUACUAAAAGUAGAUAUGCACCCAGAUUGCAUCUUGCAUUUAAAAAUAUCAGAAUCUGAAGUAUACAGAAGCUAUGCAACCCUGUGGGUCUUUGACAGUGGAAGCACUGCUACGAGAACUGGAAGAUGACUUUGAGAUGAUUACUGCCUCCAGCUUCCUGUUGCUGCCUACGAGCAAGGGGUUAUCACAGGUCAGCUGGCAGAACAGAAAGUGUGGCAGUAUGUGGUGGGUUUAUAUUGAUUUUAUAUUUGUGUGACUGAUUUUAUACCAAAGUGGAUGAAGAGCACUCUUCUAUUGCACUUUUGUGGGUGCACACCAAAGCUUCCAGCACAGGGCAGCAGCUGGCUGCUGGACGGCCACGAUAUCGUAAUACCUGCUGGGCAAUCAGAAUGGGCACCCCAGCAUGCUUUGCUGAAUCAAGGUCUUUUUGCCUUUUGAAAGGCUGUGCUGCACAUAUGUGUGAAUUGGCAUGAGCUCAUUGAUACCAGUCAUCUAUUUCAGUGGACCCAAAAGAUUCAUUGAGGGUCUGCCACUUAAUUCUUGAAUUUAUUUCUGAUGAGAAGGGAACAAAAUCACAGAUAAAUGCAAAAAGAAUGGUUGGGUGGUUAGUUGAACUGUUGGCCUUAGAAUGGGAAGGGCAAUAACGAUAAAGACCUUCAGCAUCACCUAUCAGCAUCACCAGUGAUAUGUUUUAAGUUUUAAACCUGUAAUACUUUUUAAAAUCCUAAUGAUUUACUUCUAUUGCUCAGUAUUACUGAAAGGCCCAUUACAGUGCUGGAAGGAACAACACCUUAACACAGAAGCAUUAAGAAUUGUAUUCAUAGAUAUUCAAAGUCAGAAGUACUGUUAUGACACCACGUAUGACACUACAUAUUUUAACCUCUUGCACAAUCCUAUUUCCACCUGCAUAUUCCUUCAGCAAGGAGCUCUGUCAUCAGUAAUUGAACAAGAACAUGCCUCAGUUUAAUUCUCAGUUAAGUAGAGCCAUUCCUAUUCUGAAUAUUACUUGAACUUAAUUUUAGGCAUGCCUGUAAGUCCAUCAUGUUUGAUAAGAUUGAGGUCAAUAGGCCUCGAAUUAACAGUAGGCUGAAGUGUUGUUCUGAACGAGGCCUUAAUUUGGUAAUAAAUAACAAAUCACACGUGCACAUCGACACUUGUAUUCCUUCAAACUUCCCUCAGGAAAUAUGCACUGAAAUUAUUACGUAUGCAUCAGGAGAUCUGCUCUUGCUGCUAAGUGUUUAUAAUUCACCCUUGCACUACUUUUACACUAUUGGUGUCAGUUGAGCUUUUGACCUAAGUAGGAGCAGAGUCCAGGACGAUAUGUAUCUUGCAGGAAAUAUUUAUUAAUUGAGAUGGUCAAGUCAAACUGUUGCCUGACAAAGGUUACCAGAAAGCCAUAGGCUGGAAAAUGAACAACUACAUAAAGCUGAAUAUUAUUGUCAUGGGAACAUCAUCCCAGCACUAACUAUUUGGUGUUACUUGCUCACCCCGUUGGAGUAAAUAUUUAUAAUUGUUAUUAUUGUAGCAUGUGUCUAGCGCAUAAACUGCCCAUGUGACUAGUAAGAGCUGGAUUAUUCAUGAGGAGAGACCGAGAAAAUGACUUGAAAAAUGUCAAAGACAGACUGGCAGAUGGAAUUUUCUCAUGUAGCAUUCACAUUUGAAAAGAAUUUACAUUUUUUUCUCUCACUUCCUCAUAUAUGCAAACAAGGAAGCAAAAAAACGCUAUCUCCCAGUUUCGUAAGAAAGGCACUCAAGAAAACAGAAGUCAGAAAUACCAUAGCUACUGAAAGAAAGCUCGAACAUGGGAACACUUUGGUGGACCCAGUCUUCAGGAGUGCAUGACGUUUCUCUGACAUCGAGAGGUGCUUCUGACCUUCCAAGACAGAUUGCUGUGAGCAGUGAGCUCUCAUCCUGUGUCACUGAGAAAGCCUAGGAUCAGUGUCCGCUGAACAGCAAUUCAUGUGGUCCCAUGCUCCUACAUCACAUGUCCCAACAACUUGUGGAAAAUAAUGGAGAGAGCUUUUUAAAGUCUGGAGAGAGGUAUAGACAGACAUACUCCAGAGUUGUGGCACCCAUUAAUAGAUUAACCAAGCCCGCGCAGCUGUGUUUUGAUCAGUGGAAAGGUUUCCUGGCAUCCAAGAACUGAAAUCACCUUUUGGGUAUGACAAGCGCAUCUAAGUAUCUAGCAAGUGAAAAUCAAGGGUUUCUGUAAGGAAGGAGUAAGAACACCUACCACAAAAAAUUAGAAGUAAAAUAACCUUUAAUAAUUGCAACAAUGCAAACGCAAUUGCAUGUAUUGCCCUCUAUUGGCAUUUAGCCACUGAUCAUUUGCUAGCUCAUAAAGCUGAUUUGUGCUCUUUCCUCAUGUCCCUGUUUCCCUGAGCCGUUGGCCUCUUUUCACCACUCCUUUCCCACAGACACACACACAACUGGGAUCCAGACAAGCUUUUCUCUCUUCCUCUGAAGCUCUGCUUUUUAGCACAUGAGGAAAGGAGGAGCUUUUUAAGCAGCUUUCAUUCUUUGUUGAAUGCUGCUUACAUACCUUCCACGUGUCUAGCAAGAGUAUCUAAGAUGUUAGACAAGGAAACAGGUAUAAUUCAGAGAAAACCUGACUUGAUUGAGUGGGGUCAAAACGUUUCAUUCUCCUCUUUCUUUUGAAACCCCACAUUUGCUGGCUCACACUUCUUUCAUUGUAGCUUUCCAUUGGACAUAAUUAUGUAAGGAGUCUGCGUUAGUCUUCAGGUUAGGAAGUUCAGGUAGAUUCGGUGAAUUCUAUGACUCACCAAAGUCAUUGUGACAACACAGAAUGGUUUCUCCCCUCAAACAGCUGAAGCACCAAAAUUGUUGAGGGCACCAAAACUUAUUUUCAGAAAUCCAAUUUUGACAUUCCCCAGGUUUUAGCAUCUAGUAGACAAGGUAAAGUUCCAAAUUCCUAAUUCCCAGAUCUAAUUGUACAUGUGAAUCAGGCUUGUGAGGAAACACAAAAAUUGCUGACCUCUAAAUUAUGUGCCCAAGUAUUUGAAUUGUCGUCUUGGGAGCUACAAAUUUAAGGUUGUUUGUAGAAGCUUUUAAAAGCUAUAAGCCACCAAAGGCUUUUGGAACAAAAUUCCUGUGGUCAUUUCCAGGCUUGGUCAUAUAUAUCAGUUAUUUCUUGAGCUUUCCUUCAUCAAGGGCAAUUUUUAUCAAGUAGGUUAAGAAUGGAGAUUUACCAAAGUAUUUGAUGGGUUUUUAUAUGGUCUGUGUCCUGAGCAUUUAUUUGCUACGUUAGGCACCUCUUUUAACCAAAUGCUGUUUGUUGUUGUAGAAACCCAUUCUAACAGGAGCUAGGUGACCCAUGAAAAUGUGAGCCAACCAACGGAGUUUGCAGCUUUCAAGUACUUUUCAAUACUUCUGUUUUCAGAUUCUUUAAACAGCAUCUCUCUCUCAGUCAGAAACCACAGAUGGCACAGGCCUGAUUCUCUUUCUCAUCACUAAGGCUGAUUUAUAUCACACCAGCAGUAGAAAGGGACCUGCAAAAUGGGUGGGUGUAAUGAGAUGGACUUUAGUAUCUCUUCUACACUAUUGGAGUGGCAGAGGGGAGUCUUAAACCUGUAUCCUUAUCCCUUUUGUGUCUUGCUUGGAGGAGCUUCAGGUAGGACUAACGCGGGUUGGGAACCAGGACUUCUCCACGCUGGUUUCUGAGCUGCUGGAGAAUGGCUGCACCAACACACUAAGCACAGGCACGCUUCUGCACAUUUAUCUUAGGUGCUGCCUGGUUUCAGGUCAUUACACCUCUCUGGAGUUUUCUCUGGCUUAACGCGCAACUCACAAAGCACAGGGACUGGAGCACAGGGCUCAGCAUACGUUCUUCUAUUUGAAAGCAGCUCCAUAGCAUCCACAAGAGGAUUCCUGGCACCUGCCUAGUUAAGCUGGAUGUCCAAUGUUAUCUCUCCAGCUAUGUUAACUCUUCUCUCACCCAAGACAAGAUCUUGUGCCCCAAUGGGAUAUAAUGAAAAUAUGCUUCUGAAAUUUUCUUUGACAUCAUCUUCUGACAACGCGUCUGACUCGAAUACAGCCUGCAUAAGGAAGAAGAAUCAGGUUCUCAGCCCCCACACAUGAAACCACCAUUAAAACACUCCGGCUCAGAUCUUCUUGGUGCAUAAAAGUGGAAGCUGCUUCAGCUGCAAAAGAAGCCAGGUUGAGGAAACUUGAGCGCUAGAUCGAGUGACUUCAAGCACUACAACGUAUGGAAGUGCAAAUGUAUGCAAGUAUCAACUAAACAUAUUAACAAGAGACAUCUUACUCCGAGGCAUGGUUCUCCUCCUUUUGCUCCGCCUGUUGCAAGGUGUCCAUGACAGAAUGAAGCCUGGAUAGCUGAACCGGUACAGACUGGGGCUACGUUUGUCUUUGCAUAUAUGGCUUUAUAUCUAUUGCCUUUAGUAUGAUCUGAAGCUCAUGAAGCUUGAAGUUCCUAUUUGGGCAGCACUCCUAGGGUGCCUGUGGCUAGGAGUGAGCUCAGAUGAUUAGCUUAAUGUUUCUGCAGAGUACUGGGAAAGAGCCAACCAGACUUCAGAGCGCUACAUACAACACACAAAUAAGCGGGUCCUGCAAUCCUGGAAACUUCAUUUAAGAUGGAAUUUGAAGUUCCUUGAAGAAGGACUACAAAGCAGAAUAUGUAAUUCAGGGUGAGAGUCAAGAAAUAGCUUGUUCAGCCAUGCUAAUAGCCCAAAGCUCACCAUGUAAGGGAUGUAAAGGAUAGAAAUUGUUUUCCUAACCCCAAAUUUGGUUUAUGAAAUUGUGUGGAAGGGUCUUCUUGAAGAUUGUUCUAUUGAAUUACUUGGAUUAUUCGUUACUUGAGCUCUACUCAGGGAAGGACAAGAAAGUGCCAGUUUCGUCUUCUAACUACAUGAUCUUGGGCUUAUGGAGCAGUGUUUUAUCAAGGCCAUCUCUGGAUCAUGGUGACUGAUGUAGCAUCCGCUGAUAGUUCAAGUUGAUAGUUGGCUGGCAACUGAGAGCUUCCCUCUUCCCUGUCUUUUUCAGCUGCAGAAUUAUUCUAAGAUACAGGAAACUCGGAGUUACCUUUUGGGGUAGGCAGCUGCUGUUUUUGCAACUUGAACGUUAAAUGAUCACAAAUGGGAAAAAGAAAGUUGCAAAACUGCGGCUGGGGGAGCAGAUUACUCUGUGAGGAAAUGGGCUCCCCACAAGCUGCAGAAAAGUGCUUGCAAGUCAGUGAGCAAAUGUAUUUACACUCAUGAGAUAACACGUUGCCACUGCAGACCGGUUCGUUUAACAGACUUGCCCAAACUGGGUGCCAAAGGUACUCUGCUUAGCACAGGCAUGGAAAGCACAAGAUUAUUCAUAUGACGUUUACUUUAUUGAAACUCGUAGCUGCCAAGCUAGUUCUUGUGUUGAUGCAAAGACUGUGACAAUUUUCACAUUGUAAACACCAUACAUUAAUCAGGGCAUCCCAAUAUUAUGCAAAUAAAAUGUAUGUAGUUACAAAUUCUUCCACUGUGUUUGAAUCAAAAAUAUGUCAUGGAAUUGAGUCAGGUUGUCAGAGUCAUUUCAUCAGUCACGAAAUUUGGGACCAAUGCAGGCAAUGUUUCCCCUGAGGUAUGAGACCUGUUUAUCCCGCAGUGGCUGCAUAUUGUCCAAAUUAGAAUGAAAUCUCAAAAUGUAAAUAAAAAUGUGCACUUUAUAAAUCUAAUUUGACUGGGAAAAAUCUGUCUGUGACAACAGGUCUUCCUUUGCUAGAUGAUUACCUUGUAGAAAAUCAUCGGUACAACUGCCAUAUGAACUUUUGGCCUUGUAUUUUUAUUUUGGCAGGCUACAGAGAUUUAGCAUAAUUUUGUUUCAAAGGUAAGCAAAUCUUAAAGGAGCAUUUUUUUGAAGAGCACAUCUUUUUCCAUAAAAACCCCAGAAAAUAUGUGCCUCAGUCCUACUUUUUCAUUUAGUUUUAAAUGGCUCCCACCUCCAUAUUUUAUGCUAUUUUAAAUGGUGCUUUGAUUAAAGAAAUGAUAGCUAUGAUAAUUUAAAAACAAAAUCCACACUAAGACUCUCAUGAAUAUAUACCCAGCUGCAAAGCAAUUGUGAUUGUGAAGUUUUCCUGCUGUAUAAAGGCACUUUUCUUAAAGCAAGAUGUUUGGAGGAAAUCUUGACUGAUAGCUAGUUAUAUCUCAUCAUCUGAUAUCAGAUGUAUUUUUUCAUGGCUGUUCUUUUGACAUGUACAUUUUUCAGUGUCUUUUUUUUUUUCCUACCCAGAGUUAUUUCUGUAAUGGGAGAUACCACAAUAUGUCUUUGGAAGAUGUUUUCGCAGCCCAGAGUGGUUUUUAAACUUCUGUAUCUAAGGCUAGAGAAAUCUGUGUCACUUCAUUUCUAAAAUUCUUUAUUUCUGGUGGAGGUACAUUGUGGCUUUAUAUGGCUUUGAUACACUGAGAUAUAAAAAAUUAAACUAGCAUAUAAAGGGAUGUGGCUUGUAGGAAAAAUUUCCCUUGUGGCAUAAAAUAAAAUUCUUGGUUCUUUUUAGAAAUCACCCUAUCCAUACAUGCUGACCACUGCAUACCAAACUGGCUGGGAAGGUCUUUGACCUAAGCUGCCUACCUGAAAUGCCGUCUAAUUUCUUUCAUUAACCUAGAAAAAGAUAUAUAAUGAAUAGAGUUAUAUAUGAAGAUCAGUAAUAAUUCUGAAAUAUAGGAAUUUUCUCAAGUGUGUGGUACUGAAUUAAAAAAAAAAAAGCUUGUUUUUAAUGUAGGAAUUAAGACAUUCUGCUACCAAAAAAAGAAAAAAAUCAAAUGGAGGAAAUAAUGAUAGGCUUUAGGUUGUGAGAGUAUUUGUAGUUAUUAGCACUCUCUUGGUUCUCUGUAUAGUCACAUUGAAAAGUGCAUGGAAGUCUCUUGCAGUGCUGCAUAUUUAUGAAUGUAUUUUUCUGCCUUAUAAGCUGUACACACAGACAGUUGCUAUACACUGGUGCGGGAUAUCGCUGGUAAGGGAAUGAAGCAAUCUAGGUAUCUUUUAUUCCCCAGUUUUUAACCAUCUUGCCUGACGAUUUUCCAUCUAGCUUGUUUACUUCAUGAUUUAUGUCUAAAUUGACAGAGUCCUUCGAAGGCAUUUGUGUUAAAUUUGAAACAAACAUAUUUAAUGCUUGUGUUGUAAUAAAACAGCUAAAAGAGCAGAUUAAAAAGAUAUGCACAGAGGGGCCUGAUUGAUUGAGGGAUUGAUUUUACUACUUUUCCCGUAGGUGGGGAGUGAUGGCUGUAAAUCUCCUGAUAAUCAUUUCAGAAUCACCUUCAUCAAUAAACUCAAAGGGACAGCUAGGUGUAAAAAUUUGCCAGCCA